GACGAACGCUGGCGGCGUGCUUAACACAUGCAAGUCGAACGGAAAGGCCCUGCUUUUGUGGGGUGCUCGAGUGGCGAACGGGUGAGUAACACGUGAGUAACCUGCCCUUGACUUUGGGAUAACGUCAGGAAACUGGGGCUAAUACCGGAUAGGAGCUCCUGCUGCAUGGUGGGGGUUGGAAAGUUUCGGCGGUUGGGGAUGGACUCGCGGCGUAUCAGCUUGUUGGUGGGGUAGUGGCUUACCAAGGCUUUGACGGGUAGCCGGCCUGAGAGGGUGACCGGCCACAUUGGGACUGAGGUACGGCCCAGACUCCUACGGGAGGCAGCAGUGGGGAAUAUUGCACAAUGAGCGGAAGCCUGAUGCAGCAACGCCGCGUGCGGGAUGACGGCCUUCGGGUUGUAAACCGCUUUCGCCUGUGACGAAGCGUGAGUGACGGUAAUGGGUAAAGAAGCACCGGCUAACUACGUG
rnacentral:rRNA from 1 species